CCGUGCUGUGCCUUGUUUUUCUUUUACUCGUUUCUUUUGUUUUUGUUUUUUAAAAAAAAAAGAAAAAGAUAAAAGUUCCAGUUCAGCACGGGAGGAGACAAGCUGGCUAUCUGGCUAGAGGCUGGGAUCCAUGCCGAAUCGUAUGUGGCAGAAGACCCGGUUCAAGGUAUCUGGAAGCCUCAGUGUUGGUGUUGAUCCUAACCGGAACUGGGAUGUGGGUUUUGGAGACCAAGCCAGUGGAGGAAGCAUUGACUGGUCUUAUGACUCUGGAAUCAAAUAAUCAUUUGAAUUUGAACUGGGAGACACAGAUCGAUAUGAGUUCCUUCUGCUGGCCAAUCAGAUCUUACCCACAGUGAAAGAGACCUGGUUUGGCUUGAAGACAGUCAUGGAGCAUGUGUGAGACCACCCCUAUUAAGGCUCUUGGGAAUAAACACCAUUAAAAGCUCUUUGGUUUGAAGCAAAGUUGGGCUGUGAUUAUUUAUUUAUUUUUUAAAAUAAAUUUAUUAUUUAUUUAUUUGUUUAUUUUGUCUGCAUUGGGUCUUUGGUGCUGUGCGUGGGCUUUCUCUAGCUGCA
rnacentral:lncRNA from 1 species